rnacentral:rRNA from 1 species
GUCCCACGUUCAGAUCGCAGUCUGCAACCCGACUGCGUGAAGUCGGAAUCGCUAGUAAUCGCGGAUCAGCAUGCCGCGGUGAAUACGUUCCCGGGCCUUGUACACACCGCCCGUCACACCAUGAGAGUCGGGAACACCCGAGUCCGUAGCCUAACCGCGAAGGGGGGCGUGGCCGAAGGUGGGUUCGAUAAUUGGGGUGAAGUCGUAACAAGGUACC